UUUGUUAACAUGUAUUGAUAAAUAUAUCUAUACUAUUACAAGGGAAGGAUUCUUAAAAAAAAAAGACAAGAUUGUUGGACCUAUUCAUUAGAAACUUUAAUUUUUUAUUUAAACCAUUUAAUGUUGCUGGAAUAUUUCAAAUAAAUCAUUUUUGCAAUGUUAGAGAAAUUUACGGACACCAGAAGAUAACAUACAAAUAUUUACUUUCCAACUCACAGUAAAACUAAUAAAUUAUCCCAAACGGUUGAUAAAACGAUUACAAUUUUUUGUUUUGAUAAAUAUUAUGAUUUCGCAAACACACACUAUCACUUUUAUUUUAUAUAUUACCAUAAGUCAAAAUCAUGAUGCUACACUAUCAUCUAAUUCGUACACUAUAAAUAAUAUAUAUUUUUAUUUUUUAUAUAUUUUAUAUAUUGCACAAACAUAUCAUUUAUAUG
rnacentral:lncRNA from 1 species